UACGUAGGGGGCGAGCGUUGUCCGGAUUCAUUGGGCGUAAAGCGCUUUAAGGCGGUUCGGUAAGUCGGGUGUGAAACCUCCAGGCUCAACCUGGAGACGCCACUCGAUACUGCUGUGACUAGAGUUCGGUAGGGGAUCACGGAAUUCCUGGUGUAGCGGUGAAAUGCGCAGAUAUCAGGAGGAACACCAGUGGCGAAGGCGACUUCCUGGCCUGUUCUUGACGCUGAGGCGCGAAAGCUAGGGUAGCAAACGGG
rnacentral:rRNA from 1 species